rnacentral:rRNA from 1 species
ACGCUCGACACCUACGGGAGGCAGCAGGUGGGGAAUAUUGCACAAUGGGGGAAACCCUGAUGCAGCGACGCCGCGUGAAGGAUGAAGUAUUUCGGUAUGUAAACUUCUAUCAGCAGGGAAAGAAAAUGACGGUACCUGACUAAGAAGCCCCGGCUAACUACGUGCCAACAGCCGCGGCAAUCUGAGCGGGCUGGCAAGGC